rnacentral:rRNA from 1 species
GGUAACCUACCUAUAAGACUGGGACAACGUACGGGAAACCGGAGCUAAUACCGGAUAAGAUAUCGAACCGCAUGGUUCGAUAGUGAAAGAUGGUUUUGCUAUCACUUAUAGAUGGACCCGCGCCGUAUUAGCUAGUUGGUGAGGUAACGGGCUCACCAAGGCAACGAUACGUAGCCGACCUGAGAGGGUGAUCGGCCACACUGGAACUGAGACACGGUCCAGACUCCUACGGGAGGCAGCAGUU